AAUAGUGAUAUUAAGCAAACCCAAAAAGACAGUCUCAGUUCGGAUUGAAGGCUGAAAUUCGCCUUCAUGAAGCCGGAAUUGCUAGUAAUGGCAGGUCAGCAUACUGCCGUGAAUACGUUCCCGGGCCUUGUACACACCGCCCGUCACACCAUGAGAGUUGGGGAUACCCGAAGCCUGUGAGCUAACAGUAAUGAAGCAGCAGUCGAAGGUAGAAUCAAUGAUUGGGGUGAAGUCGUAACAAGGUACC
rnacentral:rRNA from 1 species